AAGUCGUAACAAGGUUUCCGUAGGUGAACCUGCGGAAGGAUCAUUACAGAAUGCAAUAAGAACGUCUUUGAGACUGUGUUGACGACUUCGGCGUGUGCUCGGACGGUCAUAUUCUUUCUUAUCCACACACCUUUGUGCACCAAUGGGACGUCAAGUCCCCUUUUUCACACAAAUACCUAGUUAUAUGCAUGUCAUUAAUUACAUAAUAUAUGUAACAACUUUCAACAACGGAUCUCUUGGCUUUC
rnacentral:misc_RNA from 1 species